CCAGCAGCACCUUAGAGACCAACUAAGUUUGUUCUGGGUAUAAACUUUCAUGUGCAUGCACACUUCUUCAGAUGCACACAAAAGCUUAUACCCAGAACAAACUUAGUUGGUCUCUAAGGUGCUACUGG